UACAGAGGUGGCAAGCGUUGUUUGGAAUUACUGGGCGUAAAGGGCGCGUAGGCGGUUCGUCAAGUCCUGUGUGAAAUCCCCCGGCUCAACUGGGGAACUGCACAGGAAACUAGCGGGCUUGAGUUCGGGAGAGGGAAGCGGAAUUCCGGGUGUAGCGGUGAAAUGCGUAGAUAUCCGGAGGAACACCGGUGGCGAAGGCGGCUUCCUGGACCGACACUGACGCUGAGGCGCGAAAGCUAGGGGAGCAAACGGG
rnacentral:rRNA from 1 species